rnacentral:rRNA from 1 species
UACGGAAGGUCCAGGCGUUAUCCGGAUUUAUUGGGUUUAAAGGGAGCGUAGGCGGACUGUUAAGUCAGCGGUUAAAGAGUGUGGCUCAACCAUACGAUGCCGUUGAAACUGGCGGUCUUGAGUGCACACAGGGAUGCUGGAACUCGUGGUGUAGCGGUGAAAUGCUUAGAUAUCACGAUGAACUCCGAUCGCGAAGGCAGGUGUCCGGGGUGUAACUGACGCUGAGGCUCGAAAGUGUGGGUAUCAAACAGG